UACGUAGGGGGCUAGCGUUGUCCGGAUUUAUUGGGCGUAAAGGGUGCGUAGGCGGCGCGGUAAGUCGGGUGUGAAAUCUCGGAGCUUAACUCCGAAACUGCAUUCGAUACUGCCGUGCUUGAGGACUGGAGAGGAGACUGGAAUUUACGGUGUAGCGGUGAAAUGCGCAGAUAUCAGGAGGAACACCAAUUGCGAAGGCAGCUCGCUGGGACGUAACUGACGCUGAGACGCGAAAGCGUGGGGAGCAAACAGG
rnacentral:rRNA from 1 species